AUUGUCCUAAACUUCAGAAUAGUGUAAUUGCAGAUGGAAUUAUCAGAACUUCUUACUCUAUUGACAUUUUUCUAUAUCUAUUAGAUUUACCUUGUUGAUUUUCCUCCUAGGCAUUGUUUUAUGUGGAGUGUUGAAGACAGAAGAUUGUUCUAGAUGACGUGCUACUCAUCAUGAGGACCCUACAAUGAGAAAAUUGUUAUAAAAACCCUACAAGAUUUUUCUGUGCAGAGGAGAGGCAUAUCUGUUACUAACAUUUCACGGAACAGAGAAAUCUCUUCCUGAAUGUGAUUGAGGAGCUUCAUCCUGGAAUUUUUUCAGAACUACAUGAAUAAUUUACAACAGCAAAAACACCACCACCACCAACAACAACAACAACAACAAAAUCCACAAGGAUCAUUCAAAAACUUUUAUUCCGUUAAAAAAGUAGUAAAGGGACAAGGUCCCUGGAGGAACGCAACACGGAGCACUGAAGAGACAGAAGACAGUACACCAGUAUGGCAUUAA
rnacentral:lncRNA from 1 species